CUCUCUGUGAGCCCUCACGGGUUGAAAAUACAAUGAAAGUCACUGGAUGAAUGGCAUGUAAAGUUGUGUAAUGGACUCUUGUGCAGCCUUGUAAAGAUGCUCCCUGCAUGGACCAUUGCUUGUGGGCACAACAAGGUGGCAGAAAGCAACUCAAAGAAUGAAAAGGCGUGACUUCUGGAGCUUCAGAAGACUCACGUGCGAUGUUCCUUGGACAAACCCCUGCCUUCCACGGUGGUGGCGGUCUCUCACCGUAGCUGUCACCUUUCUUAAGGCAGGUAGAGCAAAGCCUGACAGCUAGAUAUUGUUUGAACCAGGGGGAGCUCUUCCUGCUGCGCACGGUCAACUGUCACAGUAACAAUUUGAUCAGUUUGUUGUAAAUCUACUUUAAUUUCUUCAAUAAUAAAUCCUGUUCUGUUUGCAAUCAUACGGAAGACCUUGGUUUAGGUUUACAGAGCAGACCUGUUCAUGUGCUGUUAUUUCAUGUGGAUUGGACAUAGAUUCUCGUCCAUUUUGCCAGCUUCUGCUAUGAUUAUGAAAGAAUUUUCUCGUCCCUCAUAAAACAUGCAUUGAACUCCCCAUUUGACUUUGAAAGAGGAAAAUACUACAGAGCUGAGAUACAUGUACGGUAGGUCUUUGCAGAACAAGCGGGACUGCCAUACACAUCCUGUUCUACACAUUAUGAUCCAACAUGCUUUAGGUUCCCGCAGAUAUUCUCAAGUGAUGGGAAAGUUACCUUUGUGAUUGCAUCAAUCCUUUAUCAUUUUCCAAAGUGUCCCAAUAUCAUACAUUUUUCAAUAUGAAAAUAACCAAAGUGGACAGAGUAGAAGUCCUUCAUUCACUAACUUCAGCCUUGAAUCAAGUGGGCUGCUCUAAUAUAAUAGUAAUACACUAUGUUUUAAUAAAACCUUUUAAAGAUUACGUGGGUCCUUUUUUGGUACUGAGAAGACGGUCAUGCAGCAGAGGGCCACACACCACUGUGGCAUGAACUCCAGCUGGUGGUGAAGAACAUUUCAGAGGGCAAAGAAAAGUCUGCCUGCCGGUCCUCUCAAACCGUCUUUAUUGGCAACGAAAGAACUGUGUGGAGUGUGUAAAGUAAAAAGCAUGGCUGCAGCUGCUCACUGUUUGUAUUCCUUCGUCUGAGGGAAACGUGCUUCUUUCAUUAAACAGUGUCAUGAUGAAGGAAAAGGGCAUGUCAUUUAGCGGAUGCUUUUUUCCAAAGUGACUUAAAAUAAUUGCAACCAUAAGGAAACUCAGAAGAACAAGGAAGUGUAAUUUCAUAAAUAAUUUUAAGUACAGUUUAAGUGCUACAGUUAGUGUUUUAGUGGAGGUGUAGUCUGAAGAGGUGUGUCUUUUAGUCUGAAGAUGUAGAGGCUCUCUGUGGUCCUCAGAGAGCUCCUUCCACCAUUUAGGAGCAGGACAGCAAAGAGUGGUGAUCUAGUCGAGUGUUUUGCUCUCAGUGAGGGAGGAACAAGCACCUUGAUGUUGGGAUGGAGGGUUUCACCAUGUCCUGGAUGGAGACUGGACCCCAUCCAUUCACAGCAUGCUACCUGAGAACCAAUGCUUUGAGUUACAGGCCUCUGCAGGUAACACAUACCACCCGUAACCUCACCACAGCUGACUCCCCUCUGGAACCUGUAAGGAAGUCAUGUGACUGUCUGCCGGCCUCCACAUAGUUCUGUGGACCGCAGCCCACCAGUAGGAUCCAGGUGGAGGUGUGUCAGGGGGAGUGGAGCGUGUUCAGGCAAGACUCACCGCCUCACUUUGCCUUUUCGUCAUCCUUAUUCUGUAAGGAAACCGCAGAGCUCCUCUAAUUGCUCCGAGAGCCUCACAUAUUGGUUUUACCUCGCGUCCUUAUCUCCAUGAUGGAUCAUAAGUAGACAAGUGUGGUUAAAUGAGAAUGAAGGACAUCGCCAACAGGGAAUCCGGGAGACAGUCAGUGGGAGAGAUCAGUGAUCAUCGUGUGCGGCAGCCUCAAGAUGAAAGGAAAGCAGUGCGGAGGAGAACCUUCACCAGGUGGAUGAAUAUGUUUCUGCAGAGACGCGACCCUCCAGAAGAAGUGCUCGACCUGUUUACCGACCUUCAGGAUGGACGAAUACUCAUGGCUCUGCUGGAGGAGCUGUCAGGGUGCAAGCUGCUUUACAGAUUUAGGUCAUCUUCUCAACGCAUUUUCAGACUGAACAAUAUUUCCAAAGCCCUUGCGUUCCUCGAUGAUAGACACGUGAAGCUGCCUGGCAUCGAUGCCACAGGUAUCGCUGAUGGCAUCCCCUCUGCUGUUCUUGAACUGGUCUGGAAUAUGGUCCUGCACUUCCAGGUAAAGACCCAAGGCCUUCAGAGGAAUUUGUCUUCCAGCCUCAUUUCCUUAACACCGAGCAUUUACCCCUCCUCUAGCGACCUCUUACCACAGCCAAAUGACAUUGGCAGCUACUGCGGCAACACCCUGCCAAGCAAAGGCAGGAAGGCUGCCAGAGGGCCAAAGUACCAUGGGAAAGCAAUCAAGAAGCUGCUCCAGUGGGUCCAAAGAUGCACAUCAAGGUUUGGGGUGGAGGUGCAUGACUUCGGGAGUUGCUGGAGGAGUGGGCUGGCAUUCCUUGCUUUGAUUAAGUCCAUAAACCCAGACCUGGUCGACCUGACGGAGAGUUUCUCCAAACAGCCAAGAGAAAACAUCCAGCUCGCCUUCACAAUAGCCCAUUGCAGUUUGGAUAUACAACCUCUGCUGGAGCCUGAAGAUGUGUCUGGCCCUUCACUCGAUGAGCAGUCCAUCAUCACCUACGUGUCUAUGUUUCUGGGGCAUUGUUCCGGCACAGAUCAGGAUGAUACAACAUAUAUCCAAGUGUCUGAGACCCCAAAUUGUGGAUCACUUGAGUCUGUCAGCACUGAAGAGACCCAAGCUGAUGAACCAAAGGCCCAAGCAUCAGUCCAAGGUUCAGAGAAGAGCCGCGAGCAGCUACUGUGGAAACGCUGGGCGCAAAGACCCUCAGGGAGCCCCGUAAACACCUUGAUUACCACUAGCGAGGCCAUGCCCCUAUUCAGCAAAAAGAAAAUCCGGAGUCAAAGCAUUUUACAGCUACCCAGUGCCCUGGAUGCAGGGGUACUCAGCCAGGAGAUCCGAUCAGGGAUGGAGAACGCGUCUUCGGAUCAGGGCGACAGCAAGCCCACGGUGGAUGAAAGUCACUUCUCUUUCAGUUCAGAGGAAGGAAUCUACAGCCUGUCAGUGCUGGAUUCAGAUGAGGAGGAGGCCUACAGCUAUAUCCUGGAUCUGAAUAAAGAGGUUUUUCCACCAUAUAAUGAGUUGAAAAGGCAAGUGCCCAGGGUGGAAGAGCAAACAGAGGAAGAAAUGUUCAUGAGCAGGCACCACACUGAAGAGUUAAAACACCUGGAAACAUGGAAGAAGACAUCAAACAGGAGAAGACAUCUAGAAGACUCAAAUGCUCGCCUGAUGAAGCGUGGUUGGUGUGAAAGAGAGGCUCCGAUUGGAACAAAGAACUCAAAGCUUUUUGAUGGAGGUAGUCAGAAGAUAGAAGUUGAGAAAAAGAUUGAAAGGGGACCUCUUGAAAAAUGUGGACAAGUAGAGAAAGUUCUGAAAUUCAAUGAAGGGCAGGAGAGAAAGUCAGGGAAAGAACAAGUGGAAGGGUAUAAGGAUGAAGAGAAGGGAACUCAGCAGAGUGUUGGUAAUUUAGAGAGUUUCAAGGUUGGAGUAAAAGCAAUAGUUUUCACUGAUAAGACUACAUAUGAAUCCAAAGGAGCUGGGGAAACUAGAAUGAAUACAGAAGAAGUAAAUGACUCGACAGAAACUGGCCCGAACAUGGAAGAAUUAACCAAUGAAGAAGAUGAGGAAGGAUGCAGAGAUGGAGUGAUGGUUGCUGUGGUUGCAGCAGAGCAGAAAGACAGGAACCUUAAGGUGAAGAGACAAGAACUCACUGGCAAGGCGUCAACAGUAGCAGGUAAAACGACCCUCGAAAGUGACACGAGAGCAGGCGUCAACGUCCAGGGUGUCGACAGUAAUUGGAUACCUGGCUGUACUGCAGCUCCUCCCUCAUCCAGAGAAGGAGGAUUCAUCACUCAAUCCUCUGCUGCUCCUUGGGACGUAACCCCAUCAGAGCAGUACAUGCUGUUGGUCCUGUGGAUCCUGCUCUACUGCUACUUCAUCUUCUGAGUGCCCCUGCUGUCCACGCUUCUUGUUAAGAUAUGCUUAUUAGCCACUAACGAGCCAAACAGGGACACUUUGGACUGGAUUGACUCUUUAUGUGGGUCACAAAAUCCCCCGUAAGGAGGCCCUUAAUGACUGUGUGAGCUUUUUGCUGGCAUCAGAAAUGAUUAAUCAUUUGGUUUAUAGUUUCAGAUAAAAUACAGGGUUAUCCUCAUUAUCACACAUUUUGUCAGCUACUCGGCCUUACCCACACGUUACUGGGGAUGGGUGUGGGCUGUUUGUGCAGGUCCAGUGCCCUGUUUAUUUGAUGUACGUUUCAGGCAGAGAUCCUUCUUUUGAUUUCACAGACUUUCAUAGACUUUACCAACCACAUGGUGGCGUCGCAGCAUCACAGAAGCGACUGUCACACAGGUUCGGCUGCUCAUCCCUCAACACUUGCUGUUUAGAGAGCAGCUGUAUUGACACUGUGGAACUAAGCUGAUAAUAUUUAAUGAGCACCUUGACAUUUUGCAGCCUCUCACUGUCACUUGCAUCAUUGUGUAUCAUUGUCCUCAUCGCUACAGAUAUUGUGUGAUAAAGGCUCAUCAACAACACCGGAUUUUCUUUUCAUGACAUUUUUGUGACUAUGCAAUAUAAAUAAUAAAUCGUUGUCUCAUUUUUAAAAUAUAUUCUGGUCCUUUCCACAAGAUCAAACUAGUGCAGUAGACAUUCAAGGGACACACUCAAUGACUUUGUUGGAAUACAAGUGUGUAAAAGUGAGUGAAACUAGAGCAGCAUUUAUAUGCAUCCGUUGCAUAAGUGUUCAAAAUCCAUGUUGACCACAAUGUGUAAAGGGGGGGACGAGUUGUCCCUGUUGUCAAUGUCCACCAAACACACACACACACACACACACCUUUAUUGGCGGCUGAAAUUCUAAGAAACAAAAAAAAUCAUGCCGCCUUUGUUUGCUUGGAGCUCAACCCACGGGUCAAGAGCUCAUCCCCCAGAGAUCAAUAUACUUUCAACAGUACCACCCCCGCACAAAACCACGAGAACAGCACAUCCCCACAGCUGAAGCUAGGCUGGUCUUCUGAGAGACCAACCCAAACCCAGCGCCCUAGAACCAGGCCAGGCCAGGAUGGCGAGAGAAGAAGCUUUGAUGUUUGCUCUGUAUGGUUUUACAUGUCUCACUGCGCUGGCAUGGCUAACAGGUCUCACGGCAGAUGGGUCGGUUCGACGGAAGCCUGAGAAACUUUGAAGCAGGCCUCUGCGAAGGGAACAAGAGGUCAAUGAGCAGCUCAACUCAUUGGCCCUAAACACAGCCUUGGCCUUUGAGCCGUACCGCAACCUGACAACCAGCGCCGCUGCUGAGCAGCAACAGCACAACUUCCUGUUCUCGCCAUUGGGCCUGCGUCAGCUCUGGUGCUGCUGUCCCGGAUGUGUGGUUCUGUCAGUCGGAACCAGGCCCUGGAGGCCCUGGGGCUGGCCACCUUAGCUGCUCUUGCAGAUCUGCAACACACCCUCUCUCUACAUGAAGGGGGUGGGGUCCAAAGGGUAGAACCUGGAACUGGAACGGGAGCUGGCAUUGGGGCACCAGCAGGGGUGGAAUUUGGAGAAGAUGCUGCAAACAGAACUGAUGUAGAUGAUUGGGAGAAGGGUGGGCAUGAAAGUAUCGGUCAGCUCAGAGUUUUGAGCAGCCUACAUGUUGAUGGAACACCAUGUUCGGAGACGACUCCUCUGAGGCAGGCAGAAAUCCGUUUCCCGAAGUUCCAACCAAGGAAAUCCUACAGUUUAGAAGACCUGCUGAGGAACUCUGGGGUGUCAUGGGUUUUCUCGCACGCAACCCACUUGAAACUCGCCACGGUUAAGAGGAAUCCAAAAUAUCAUAUUUCUCUAUGCCAAGGUGGAUUACCAUAAAACCAGGAUGCUGAAGCACUUGAUUGAGCCCUUACCACACAUUCAGAAACCGACCUCUGUGGGAUCCAUUGGAGUUUUUAUGUCACUCUUUAAUGGCCACAUUCCCUGUCUUCUUUCAGGCUCUUCAUGAGGUUAUGCUGGAGGUGGAAGAGAUCGAGUACGAAGAUGGGGGCAGACCUGACAGUUGACUGGACUUCUCCGUUCCCCCGAGGAUCACCUUUAACAGGCCGUUCAUGCUCAUAACCUACGACCAUCUCACGGGGCUUGUGGCGCUCAUGGGGAGAAUUAUCGAUCCUACAAAUGUCUAGACUGGAAUAAACAGCGUAGAUUUAUUGGGCUUUGCUAUAAUACUACAUCCACUUAUAUUACACAAUUUGUGUUUUUUUCCCCCCAAUAGAAUUGUGUAUCAUCAUGGGGAAAGAAAAGAACUAUCCUGCAGUUAUAUCAAAAUGCAGAGUGCUUUGUUUCACCUCCAAUUUUCCAAAACAUUACAGCCUGAUUUACAGUUUUAUCCCCCUAUGUGCACAAAAUGAUGAAAAGAAAUUCAAAUUGAAGUAAUUCAUCUCUGUGACUGAAUCUCGUUCUAUUCUUGCAAAAAACAUAAAACCCUUU